GACGAACGCUGGCGGCGUGCCUAAUACAUGCAAGUUGAGCGCUGAAGGUUGGUACUUGUACCAACUGGAUGAGCAGCGAACGGGUGAGUAACGCGUGGGGAAUCUGCCUUUGAGCGGGGGACAACAUUUGGAAACGAAUGCUAAUACCGCAUAAAAACUUUAAACACAAGUUUUAAGUUUGAAAGAUGCAAUUGCAUCACUCAAAGAUGAUCCCGCGUUGUAUUAGCUAGUUGGUGAGGUAAAGGCUCACCAAGGCGAUGAUACAUAGCCGACCUGAGAGGGGGAUAGGCCACAUUGGGACUGGGACACGGCCCAAACUCCUACGGGAGGCAGCAGUAGGGAAUCUUCGGCAAUAGACGAAAGUCUGACAGAGCAACGCCGAGCGAGUGAAGAAGGUUUUCGGAGCGUAAAACUCUGUUGGUAGAGAAGAACGGUGGUGAGAGUGGAAAGCGCAUCAAGUGACGGUAACUACACAGAAAGGGACGGCUAACUACGUG
rnacentral:rRNA from 1 species